UGUUUGGCACCUAUCACGUGAUAAGUCUUGACGUCAGAGGUUUCGUUGGAAGUGUUUCAACAAACACUGUGGAGAGAAAGCUUUGAUUUACACACAGUGAGGUACAAAGGGUUUAAAUCAUAGCAGAACCUGCUUUUGAAAACAUGAGGUUCAACUGUGGGGCUUCAUAUUAUCUAUCAGUCGGUCAGUGCACGUGGAACUUCAGAAAAAAUUCCAUGACAAACCCCAUAGAAUUCAAAGAUCUUCCUAUGGAAUAUCUUAGUCCUGCAAAGAGCACCAACAUAAACAUCCGCUGAGGACCGAGACCAAAGAUGAGGAUCAAUACCAUAACAAAAAGCACUGAGAUAAAUCAUUAAAAGAUUAUUAUUCUGAGUAUUAUGGAGUUCUUCAAAAAUGCACCAACGAGGUCACGGGUACUAAUAUCUGCCACCAGACCCCUGCAGCUCAUCCAGAAUGCUGCAGCUCGCCUGAUCAACCUCCAUCAUUCCUCCUAUGUCACCCCUCUGCUCGCUGCCCUUCACCGGCUUCCUGUUGCAGCUCACAUCAAAUUUAAGACUUUGGUGCUAGGUAGUCAAGGGGUCAGGUUCAGCAUGGCUCCAGAGUCUGACCUGACCCAAUAAGCCAGCCAGAUCCCUACGCUCCACUACUAUUGGUUAUCUGGCCCUUCCUCCUCUGCGCUCCUGCCCAGCCCAGUCAAGACUGUCUGUUCUGGAGCCCCAUUGGUGGAAUGACCUUCCCACUAAGGUGAGAACUGCUGACUUCCUGACCAUCUUCAAGCACAGACUGAAGACUCACCUCUUCAGGCUGCACCUCUCCCCUUCUUCCUUGCCCACUGUGUAAUCACAUAGCUGCCUUGACCAAUUCAGGCUGUGUACCGUCUAGCCUGGUCACAAUGACUUGGUGUUAUUUACUUGUACUUUGUCAGCUCAUUUGUAUGGUUGGUUGGUUUCCUUGGCUGUUUGCUGAGUAUUGGUAUUUCAACAGAAUAUUACACUGUGUUAUUCUGUCAAUUGUUCAUUUGGCACUAGAAAUUUCUUGUGUAGAAGUUCAGCACUUGUUGUAGAUUGCUCUGGAUAAGAUCAUCUGCUAAAUGCCUGUAAUAUAAUGUAAGGUAAGGAAAUAAAUGUAUAAUAAUGUCAUUUACCAGCUGGGAGGUCUGUAUCGUGAAAUAUCGUGACUGAGGUCUUGAAAGUACUGAGCGAGGCCCUCUGGGCCGAGGUCAGUAUUCAAGGCCGAAGUCACGGUAUUUCACCAUACGGACCGACCUUAAGCUGGUAAAUAAUAUAUUUAUUUUUUUCUUACCCAAAUUCUAACAGAAAACGAGAGCGCCCGAAAGGGAAAACUGAGCCGAGCCGCCAUUUUGAAUCCUCAUUCACGACUGUAAUGCAAAUGGUUUCCUCCUCGGUAUACAAGUGCACUCCCAUGGCAGGAAAAAAAAAAAACAACUACAUUUUGCCGCCUAUGUAGCCACCUAUUUAUACAAAUAGGAGUCAUUCAGGAUUCAGCCAUGUUUUUGCUCAGUGUUAGCAACAGUUACAGGUUUUAGCUUUCUCCUGAAAUGUUUUUUCUUUUAUUUCUUCUUCCUCAGGGUAGUAAAACUCGUUUUCGCUGUGAACACUGUCGUUAUCGCUAUCCAUGCUGUAAAAUUAAUGCUAUUUUGAAUCCUCAUUCACGGCUGUAAUGCAAAUGGCUUCCUCCUCGGUAUACAAGUGCACUUCCAUAGCAGGAAAAAAAACUACAUUUUGCCGCCAAUGUAGUCCCCUAUUUAUACAAAUAGGAGUCAUUCAGGAUUCAGCCAUGUUUUUGCUCGGCGUUAGCAACAGUUACAGGUUUUAGCUUUCUCCUGAAAUGUUUUAUUUUAUUUCUUCUUCCUCAGGGUAGUAAAACUCACUUUCGCUGUGAACACUGUCGUUAUCGCUAUCCAUGCUGUAAAAUUAAUGCUAUUCUCCUGAGAAAUGCUGGCAAAAAUUUACAAGAUUUUUGAUAAUCUUAUAAAUAAAUCUUAGAUAAAUGUUGACAAAAAUUGCUACUAUGUUUGUUCUUGUUGUGAACGAGCAAGUCACCAGAGGUCCGUAACCUGGGUCUGUAACUGUGGCCCAUACCGUAGGAUACGGACCCGCUCACCAGCCAAUCAGACCACAGGAUUCGAUGGAAACUGGACCGCAAAAAAAAAAAUUAAUCAUUACUUUACAAUAUUAGGAUACUUUGGUAAGAACUUUCUAAUGCUGGAAUAUAUUGUGCUACAUUUUCUGUGCCUUCUGACCUGGUCUCCUGCUAAAGAAAUGGAACACACCCAAACCUUAAUGUACUUGUCAUUAUGUUGAUUACCAUUUAAAUGAAUUGCUUCAGUCCAUCCAGUGCACAUUCAUUACACAAUCUGUCAUCAAUGAUGAUGUAAAAUGCUCAUACCAGAAAUGUAUGAAAGAUAUUUUAAGCAAUUAUAUUGCAUACUGUAAAGCUGUAUUAGCUUUCAAAUGAUUAGGCUUACUUUAAGUGUUGAGCUUGUAAUAGAUUAAUGAUUAAUGACAUUUCAUAUUUAUUUAUUUCUGUAUAUCUGUAUUUCUCCAAGUUCUGUUUCACUGGAUUGGCUCUGCACUUACUAUGGUAUUGCUGGUAUUUUG